rnacentral:rRNA from 1 species
CCUACGGGAGGCAGCAGUGGGGAAUCUUGCACAAUGGGCGAAAGCCUGAUGCAGCCAUGCCGCGUGAAUGAUGAAGGCCUUAGGGUUGUAAAAUUCUUUCGCUAGGGAUGAUAAUGACAGUACCUAGUAAAGAAGCACCGGCUAACUUCGUGCCAGCAGCCGCGGUAAUACGAAGGGUGCUAGCGUUGUUCGGAAUUACUGGGCGUAAAGCGCGCGUAGGCGGACUAUUAAGUCAGAUGUGAAAUCCCAAGGCUCAACCUUGGAACUGCAUUUGAAACUGGUAGUCUAGAGAUCAGGAGAGGUUGGCGGAAUACCGAGUGUAGAGGUGAAAUUCGUAGAUAUUCGGUGGAACACCAGUGGCGAAGGCGGCCAACUGGACUGAUACUGACGCUGAGGCGCGAAAGUGUGGGGAGCAAACAGGAUUAGAUACCCUGGUAGUC